GGUUCGCCAUCACUUCUAUUAUUUGUAACUAUAUAUGCUAAUUGGUUCGUAAGUAUACGUACUAAUUGGCUAUAUAUCGCCAUGCAAGAUCACUAACGAAGCCUCGAGCAAUGUUAUUCUUUUUUUGAAGAAUCUGGAGGGGUUUUACCCCCUACAAUAUAAUAAUUAUUAUUAUUAAAGAAAAACAAGAGUUCUGGAACAAGGAGAAGAGGAAGAAGUACAAGUACAUGAAUCAAGAAACAAAAAAAGAAAGGAAAAAAAUUGCUCUAGGCAGCUAGCAGUUCUAGGUGAUGAAACCAUGAGUCAAACUGAGGUUGUUGAUCUUGCUUUAUUCUGAACCGAAUAAGCUUGAGUUCCUUGAAAAAGGUUCUGAUGUAUUCGUCCCUGCAAGUUCCAUUUCCUCUGAAAAUCAGCUCAUUUCG
rnacentral:lncRNA from 1 species